rnacentral:rRNA from 1 species
UCGGGAAUCUUGGGCAAUGGGCGAAAGCCUGACCCAGCAACGCCGCGUGAGGGAUGAAGUAUUUCGGUAUGUAAACCUCGAAAGAAUGGGAAGAAUAAAUGACGGUACCAUUUAUAAGCUCCGGCUAACUGCGUGCCAGCAGCCGCGGUAAUACGUAGGGAGCAAGCGUUGUUCGGAUUUACUGGGCGUAAAGGGCGCGUAGGCGGCGCGGUAAGUCACUUGUGAAAUCUCUGAGCUUAACUCAAAACGGCCAAGUGAUACUGCUGUGCUAGAGUGCGGAAGAGGCAACCGGAAUUCUUGGUGUAGCGGUGAAAUGCGUAGAUAUCAAGAGGAACACCUGAGGCGAAGGCGGGUUGCUGGGCCGACACUGACGCUGAUGCGCGAAAGCCAGGGGAGCAAACG